rfam:Xenopus laevis strain J chromosome 1S, whole genome shotgun sequence.
AAAAAGGGCUUGUGCUGUGUAUGGCACAUUGUGGUUCUUCUGUUUGGAGAAUCGCGGUGCGGAAUCGAUAUCAAGAGAUUUCAAAAGCGUCAUUUUUGUUAACAGGGCUGCUUGUGGUCAUUAUCCCGGGUGCCCAA